UCAGAGACGAUGACGUUGUUUAAUUGAGUCCCCUGACACACAAGGGUGGAGUUUGAGACGCACCACACAGUGCUUUCGCACGCAGGCAGCAACCAGGGUAACUUUCAAGGACUUCCUCUGGAUGGUGGCAGAUUGACAACCUCACAUCAGUGAACAUGAAUCUCAUAACUGAUUGGAAAAAUAAAUAAAGUUUUGCACACAA